rnacentral:misc_RNA from 1 species
UACUAACAUAAUUUAAAAAUCUAAACAAUCAAUGACGCUAGUCACCAACACUUCCACUAACGCAAGAUAAAGUCGAGCGCAUAUCAUGCAAUGUUAAUGACUAGGAAAAAACAAGCACCAAUUAAUACAUUUUUCCUUUCGUUCAGAAUACAAAUAUUGACUUGCAAGAGUCCUAGAGACCAAAUUUACUUCUUGUCAUGAACCGAAUCAUGAUAAACAUGUAUAAACAAUACGUGAGACACAAAAGUCAGAAGCUUGACAGAAGUUGCUCUUGAGCAACCAUGUUGGACUACAAUUCUGUAUCUGCAUGGACUCUCAUAAAGUUGGUUAGCCAUAGGAUCCAAAUAAAACUAUCAAAACAGAAUAACAACCGUUUCCAAUUGAUCACCGGCAAUUCAGGUAGUUCCUUAUUUAAGUAAAAUGCACAAAAUGUAUAUGCAUCAGGCGCAAACUCCACGUUCAUGUACCUCGGCAAACAUCUGAUGGGGGAAAUUGAGAAAUUAGGAAUCAGCUAGCGAUAAGAAACUAGGAUAGGAACCUGCACAAGGAUAUCAAGGACAAUCCUCAAAUCAGCACACAGAUUGUCGCCCUUUGGCUUGGAGGUUCUCUCAAACAUGUUCUGGGAAACACUCCACAUCUGGAAAACAGAAUUUAAUAAUAAAAGGUUCAGGUUCCAUGGUGCUAGCCACUGACAAUUUGACUUAUGCGGAUGCAAUUAGAAGCAUUGGUCCCUGAAAAUAUGCUGCCUAGAACCUGCCUCCACAUUCCCAUUUUUGGGACAAAACCUUGCUUCACCAUUUGCUUCAAAACCCAAUCAACGUCCCUAAUCAACUUCUCCUUGCAAAGCCCAUGAAUCAACUUCUUGUAGGAAACAAAACUAGGACUAUUCCCCUCACAGAUCAUCAUACUCAUGAAUUCUUUUGCCUCCUUAAACUUCUCGACAUCAAGCAAACCAUAUAAAACCUCUUGAUAAGACCCUAAAUUUGGUUCACACCCCUUGAGCUUCAUUGUCUCCAGCAGCUCCAUUCCCUCCUCAAUCCUUCCUUGCUUCCUCAACCCUGAAAUCAAGAUAUUGAAACUGAUCGUAUCCACAUCAAUACCCUCUAUUUCCAUUCUCUCAAGCAAUCCAAAUGCCUUGUUCACCUCCCCUUUUCCACAUAAGUAAUGCAUCAAGGUUGAGAAUGUUCUCACAUUAGGCCUACACCUUUGUUUAGGAAAUUCAUCGAGCACGUAGAAUGCUGCCUCCAAAUCCCCA